CCUACGGGGCGCAGCAGUGGGGAAUAUUGCACAAUGGGGGAAACCCUGAUGCAGCGACGCCGCGUGAGUGAAGAAGUAUUUCGGUACGUAAAGCUCUAUCGGCAGGGAAGAAAAUGACGGUACCUGACUAAGAAGCCCCGGCUAACUACGUGCCAGCAGCCGCGGUAAUACGUGGGGGGCAAGCGUUAUCCGGAUUUACUGGGGGUAAAGGGAGCGUAGACGGCAGCGCAAGUCUGGAGUGAAAUCCCAUGGCUUAACCAUGGGACUGCUUUGGAAACU
rnacentral:rRNA from 1 species